rnacentral:rRNA from 1 species
CCCCUAGAUGUUCUGGGCCGCACGCGUGCUACACUGAUGCAUUCAACGAGUCUAAAACCUGGUCUGAUAGGGCUGGGUAAUCUUUUGAAAGUGCAUCGUGAUUGGGAUAGAUGAUUGCAAUUCUUCAUCUUCAACGAGGAAUGCCUAGUAAACGCAAGUCAUCAGCUUGCAUUGAUUACGUCCCUGCCCUUUGUACACACCGCCCGUCGCUCCUACCGAUUGAAUGAUCCGAUGAAUACCAUGGAUUGAGAGUACGAAUAGGUUCGCUUAUUUCUGCUGCUCGAGAAGUGGAGUAAAUCUUAUCAUUUAGAGGAAGGAGAAGUCGUAACA